rnacentral:rRNA from 1 species
GUGCCAGCCGCCGCGGUAAUACCGGCAGCCCGAGUGAUGGCCGAUCUUAUUGGGCCUAAAGCGUCCGUAGCUGGCCGCGCAAGUCCAUCGGAAAAUCCACCCGCCCAACGGGUGGGCGUCCGGUGGAAACUGCGUGGCUUGGGACCGGAAGGCUCGAAGGGUACGGCCGGGGUAGGAGUGAAAUCCUGUAAUCCCGUCCGGACCACCGAUGGCGAAAGCACUUCGAGAAAACGGAUCCGACAGUGAGGGACGAAAGCCAGGGUCUCCAACCGGAUUAGAUACCCUGGUAGUCC